rnacentral:rRNA from 1 species
UACAGAGGUCUCAAGCGUUGUUCGGAUUCAUUGGGCGUAAAGGGUGCGUAGGUGGCGUCGUAAGUCAGAUGUGAAAUUUCGGAGCUUAACUCCGAAACUGCAUUUGAUACUGCGGUGCUUGAGGACUGGAGAGGAGACUGGAAUUUACGGUGUAGCGGUGAAAUGCGUAGAUAUCGUAAGGAAGACCAGUGGCGAAGGCGGGUCUCUGGACAGUUCCUGACGCUGAGGCACGAAGGUCAGGGGAGCAAACGGG